AACCAGGCCUUUAUGUGUUUGACCGCAAUUCAGCCCACGUGGUGCCAUGAGACAAGGGUGAGCGGAUGCUCUUACCUCUACAGCCAAAGUACACACAUCCUUCCAGAAAGAAAGAACUCAUCUUCUGAAGCAGCAGGUACAAGAACUCCUUUGAAAUAACCAAAGUGGAGCUGAUAGGACUGUGAGACUGAAGUCUAACUGAGACUGUUAAAAAACCCCAGAACCCCUUAUGGCAAUUAAAAAAUAACUCCAGUAAGCAGGCAUUGCCACGGUGGAAAAUCACUGCAGCCCUUAUACUGGCCCCUGGAACAUCAUGGGACAACACAGCAAGG